GACCAAUCAGGAGAUGUUUCCAGUUUAUCGGUGAAUUUAUUAGGGCUCAGAGAGGAUGACCUAUCCACGGUCACACUGCCAACUGGGUGUAGGACAAGUCUCUGAACCCAGUGUGCCCCUGCCGGAAAGCAGCAGGGAUCACAGAAGUCCAGCAGAGGUCUGCCGCCUUGGACCCCCCCUCUUACACAUUGAGUGUGGUUUCCGUGGUGAUGAUGCAAGUGAAAUUUGGUGCCGUGACUCGGAUCAGGGGACCUCCCUUGGCAGAUCAAUCCCCUGUCCUCCUGCUCUUUGCUCCAUGAGAAAGAUCCACCUGCGACCUCCAGUCCUCAGACCAACCAGCCCAAGGAACAUCUCACCAAUUUUAAAUCGAGACCCCACUGGAAAUUGGACUGUCCAACUGGCCCAAAGCUCUGACUGACUCCUUCCCAGAUCUUCUCGACUUAGCGCCUGAAGACUGACACUGCCCGAUUGUCUCAGAAGCCUCCUGGACCAUCACAGAUGCUUUAGGUAACUCUUACAGUGGAGGAGUCUCUCUCUGUCAGCCAGGCUGGAGUGCAGUGGCGCCAUCUCGGCUCACUGCAACCUUCGCCUCCUGGGUUCAAGCAAUUGUCAUGCCUCAGCCUCCCGAGCAGCUGGGAUUACAGGCACCCACCACCAUGCCCAGGGCUUCUCUCUUCCCUGGGGACAUAAAACCAGAAGGAUUCAGAAGGAUCUGCCAAAGGAAAUCUGCCACCCCAUCAACGAUCAGGUGAUUUCAUGUACAUAAGUGUGUUCUAGAGGAAAGAUGGCUGUCACCACCCUGCGAGGGACCCUUUCACAUGUUCUGAUACGAUUAUCAAGGUGAAAGAAAAAUCCAGCUGGAUUCAUGCUUUCGACUGGACUUGGAUUCCCACGAGGACUUGAAACUUAAAUCUUCUAGAAUAAAUGAUAUUGGUACUGAACUCAACUGAAAAGAACUAUUUUUGUGAACUUAUUAUUACUAUUAUCAUAAACAGCCCUGCUGGCCUAUUCACAGCAGUGAUGAUUUCAAUUACUUUAAGACUCACAAUUUACUAGAAACAAACAUGCUAUUUGUAACACUACUUUUCUUUCUGUACUCCCAGUAAUGGUCCCCACAAUUAUUUACUUCCCAUCUGCUCUAUAUUGUGUUUUCAGGAUAGAUAUGGCCCAAAUUUGUAAGACCAACAAUCUGAUUGUCAUCAGAGUGAAGGUGGGACCAUCUUUUUUUUUUUUUUGAGACGGGGUUUUGCUCUUGUCACCCAGGCUGCAGUGCAAUGGCACGAUCUCGGCUCACUGCAACCUCCACCUCACAGGUUCAAGCGAUUCUUCUGCCUCAGCCUCCCAAGUAGCUGGGAUUUCAGGCACCCACCACCAUGCCCGGCUAAAUUUUUUUUUUUUUUUUGAGACGGAGUCUUGCUCUGUCACCCAGGCUAGAGUGCAGUGGCCUGAUCUCGGCUCACUGCAACCACCGCCUCCCAGGUUCAAGCGAUUCUCCUGCUUCAGCCUCCCGAGUAGCUGGGAUUACAGGUGCCUGCCAUUGCACCUGGCUAAUUUUUGUAUUUUUAGUAGAGACAGGGUUUGACCAUGUUGGCCAGGAUGAUCUCAAUCUCUUGACCUCAUGAUCCACCCGCCUCGGCCUCCCAAAGUGCUAGGAUUACAGGCAUGAAUGCCCGGCUAAUUUAUGUAUUUUUUAGUAGAGACAGGGUUUCACCACGUUGGCCAGGCUGGUCUCGAACUCCUGACCUCAGGUGAUCCACUUGCCUCGGCCUCCCAAAGUGCAUUUUUGGGAACACUAACAUAACUAAUAUGCAUCACAAUACUCAAGCCCUAAGUUUGACACGAAAUGUCUGAGGCUAAGUAGUUUGCAUAACCAGAAUUGCAGCCCCUAGGCUCUCCCAUUAUGAAAUCUGAUUAUUAAGGGGCUUGAGGCCAUACAAGGACAAAAGGAAACAUUAAAUACAGUCCUUGGAGGAAUAGAAAUAGACAAGCGUAGCUAAUGCUUGUUGAUACUGAUAUUUUCAAUAAUAAACUUAAUGCUUUGAGACAAUUACAAAAACACAUAAUACGAUUGCAAUGGAAACGGCCAAAAAUUCAGAAUUGGACUGUUGAGAAGUAACGUAAUGCCCAAACAAAAAUUCACCACAAGGAUCUCAGAGGGACUUGGCAAUAAAGCAGUUUAGCAAUUAGCUAGAAAAAAGCUCUGAGAUUUCAUCACUCGUUCAGCAUGACAUACUGCUAUCAUAAUAAAACUAUUGAUUGGACUGAUGUGGAAAAUGGCCGAUGAGUGGGUUUGUUCUCAAGACUUAAUAAGAGCCACGGACAUGGCCGGGCAUGGUGGCUCACACCUGUAAUCCCAGCACUUUGGGAGGCCAAGGUGGGCAGAUCACCUGAGGUCGGGAGAUCGAGACCAGCCUGACCAACGUGGUGAAACCCCGUCUCUACUAAAAGUGCAAAAUUAGCUGGGUGUGGUGGUGCAUGCCUGUAGUUCCAGCUACUCAGGAGGCUGACGCAGGAGAAUUGCUUGAACCCGGGAGGCAAAGGUUGCGGUGAGCCGAGAUUAUGCCAUUGCACUCCAGCCUAGGCAACAAGAGCAAAAUUCCAUCUCGAAAAAAAAAAAAAAAGAAAAAAGAAAAAAGAAAAAGAAAAA